rnacentral:rRNA from 1 species
UACAGAGGUCUCGAGCGUUAGGCGGAAUCACUGGGCUUAAAGCGUGUGUAGGUGGAUGCCUAAGUACCUUGUGAAAUCCCACAGCUUAACUGUGGAACUGCUUGGUAUACUGGGUGUCUUGAGUCACUCAGGGGCGAGCGGAACAAAUGGUGGAGCGGUGAAAUGCGUAGAUAUCAUUUGGAACGCCCAAUGGUGAAAACAGCUCGCUGGGGGUGUACUGACACUGAGACACGAAAGCCAGGGGAGCGAACGGG